rnacentral:ncRNA from 7 species
AAAAAAAAAAAAAAAAAAAAAAAAAAAAAAAAA